GUUUCGACCUUAACCCGACACUCUCGUAGAAAGAACUGAAUCAAAAAGCAGAAACAAAAGGAGACGUGCACGGCUUUACAAUCGUAUCAGUCUACCUGUAAAAUCAACGCUCCACAUAGAGUUUUCCCUGUGAGCUUACCUUCCAGCGGUAAACAUGGAACCAUUGGCUGUACCGAAAACUGACAUAACAACUCCGAGGGGUAUCAAGAAACUCGCGGCACCCAACACUUCGAUACCCCAGUCCUAAAAGGGUUUACAUAUUAUGGCGAACUGCAUUCAUCUAGAUUGCCAGGUUUAACUCACCACUGCAACCGCGUUGGAGGAAAUAAUCUCUUCUUGUGUCAAAACAGUUAAGUAUGAGACGUUGAUUAGCACGUAGCAAACGGUUGUCAGCGGCAGAGCAAUUAUAAUGGCCAACGGCAAAUUCCUUGAGGAAAUGCAACAAACACAAAAUUGUUUUUCCUUUACGUUAAGCUUCCUCAUACCUGGUCUUAAUAGCAUGUACCCAGAACUUCAUAAGGCCCUUUACAUCCCCUUGUGACCCCAAUUCCAAAGAAGCUAUGACCCACCAGAAAUGACUCAUCCAAAAAUACUGACCUAAUUUUGAAGCACUAGAGAUCUGAACUAUGCGCAUGAACGUACCUGUAUGGAUUUUGUAGUUCUUCCGUUAUGAAAUUUAAAUUAUUCCUUUAAAGAAAAACAAAAUUAACUCAAAUUCAAAACCGUAAUUAUUCGAGCUUCUCACCAUCCAUCGUAAGCCCAAAGACCGCCAUAAAAGGCCGUAGCUAUUUGUCCAAACGAAGUAGCCGAUCCUUCAAAUCCAAUUUCUAAAUUUUCCGUGUAACCUGUAUGAUCAUUCAUCAGGAUAAUUCCAAUUGAUUUGUCGCAUUUCACUUUUUUGUUUUUAUACCUAAUCCUAGGUAGUACAAUCCUCCACCAAUAAUAAUGGCGAUUGCGGUCAAUUUCGCGACCGUGAAAAUGUUCUGAACGCGUGUCGCCGCCGUGACAGAAUAACAGUUGAUAAAGGUAUCAGGGCAAAAGUCUAUCGCCGUGAGGAUUGGUGAGCUAAAAUAUUUGGCGAACGAAAGUGACAGAAUAGCCAGAGAAGAUGGUUUUAGUAAGAAAACCACUGUCCAAGCAAAGAUGAAGGCUAAUAUUGGACCAAAGAAUUUGUGUGUGUGUCCAAAAGCCUCCAGAAAAUAAAUAUACUCUCCUGUUUAACGAGAAAAAGGUAUCAGCGUUCCAAUCUCACAGUAAGAAAUGGCACCUAAGAAAAAGUUAAUAGAUUCAUAAAUCACGUUCUGCACAAUGCCCACUUAAAGUUUCUACCCAAAAAUCAAACGUAUUUGCCGGUAACAACAACAGAAACAUGUCACGGUGGGCGAAUAUGUCCAAAGUGGCCAUGCUUGAAAAGUGUUACGCAGAUCAAACUUUCGCUAAAAUUCAACAGUACGUCUAAGGGAUAGAUAUCUAUCAUUCCAUCUCGUCUCCUUGGAGGGCAAGGACAUAGAUCGAAUUCAAGAUGGACUCACCUAGUAAAGAGUAGAGACCACAGACAGCCCACAGGACGAGACAUAAACCAGGAGAUCCGGCACUGAAUAGGACAGAAGAAUCGAAGGAUAAAAAAAAUAUGUGCGGCAAACCUCCGGAAAUAAGAAGGCCUUCCUAAUGUGAAUUCAUUUUUUUUUUAAAAGACAGUUAAUCGAUAACCUCUUCUUCCCGAUUCGGCUUCCUUUGUAGUAAUACUAUCUACUCAUAUUUUUUUUUUUCGUCUCAGUUUAUCCUCUGCUCGAGAUUCCUUGAUUGCCUGAAAAUUUCCAUUUAAAAAAUAAGGAAGGGGGGAAAAAAUGUUUCUUACUUCCCAAGAAGAUUUCCUGGCGAUACGAAGAUACCGGACCCGAUCAUUGUUCCCACGACGAGGGCAACUCCACUGAAAAGUCCCACCUGAAAUCAUGCUGUGCUGGUUUUAAAGGAGACGAAACACUGUCUUUUAUCUGUUCACGUGACAAUCACAAGCGUUAAUCAGCAAAAACAG